rnacentral:tRNA from 1 species
GCCGAUGUAGCUCAGUGGUAGAGCAACUGCAUGGUAAGCAGUAGGUCGUCGGUCCGACUCCGACCAUCGGCUCCA